rnacentral:rRNA from 1 species
AUACGGAGGAUCCGAGCGUUAUCCGGAUUUAUUGGGUUUAAAGGGAGCGCAGGCGGAGAUGCAAGCGUGACGUCAAAUUUCGGGGCUCAACCCCGUCUCGCGUCGCGAACUGCGUCCCUUGGUUGCGGGAAGGGGAGGCGGAACUCGUGGUGUAGCGGUGAAAUGCAUAGAUAUCACGAAGAACUCCGAUCGCGAAGGCAGCCUUCCGGCCCGUCAACGACGCUCAUGCUCGAAGGUGCGGGUAUCAAACAGGAUUAGAUACCCUGGUAGUCCGCACAGUAAACGAUGGACACCCGCGGUUUGGCCUGUAUGGCUGAGCCGCCAAGCGAAAGCGUUAAGUAAUCCACCUGGGGAGUACGUUCGCAAGAAUGAAACUCAAAUGAAUUGGCGGGG